rnacentral:rRNA from 1 species
GAUGAACGCUGGCGGCGUGCUUAACACAUGCAAGUCGAACGAUGAAGCCCAGCUUGCUGGGUGGAUUAGUGGCGAACGGGUGAGUAACACGUGAGUAACCUGCCCUUAACUCUGGGAUAAGCCUGGGAAACUGGGUCUAAUACCGGAUAGGAGCGUCCACCGCAUGGUGGGUGUUGGAAAGAUUUAUCGGUUUUGGAUGGACUCGCGGCCUAUCAGCUUGUUGGUGAGGUAAUGGCUCACCAAGGCGACGACGGGUAGCCGGCCUGAGAGGGUGACCGGCCACACUGGGACUGAGACACGGCCCAGACUCCUACGGGAGGCAGCAGUGGGGAAUAUUGCACAAUGGGCGCAAGCCUGAUGCAGCGACGCCGCGUGAGGGAUGACGGCCCUCGGGUUGUAAACCUCUUUCAGUAGGGAAGAAGCGAAAGUGACGGUACCUGCAGAAGAAGCACCGGCUAACUACGUG